UGUCAAAGGAUGGGAAUCGAACCCACGACCUUCCGCUUACCGGGCAGAUGCCAGGACCACUAGGCUACCCUGGAC
rnacentral:tRNA from 1 species